CAAUUCUUAUAUUUAUUUAUUGAUAAUUGUAAUAUAGAAUUAUAAUUUUACAAAUGGAGUUGUUGGGAUUUGUAAAUACCUAGAAUUGCUAAUCUUAAAAUACAAAAAUUUAAUUUAAUUUUACAAAGCUACAAGUGAAAAUUAGGAGGGAAACUUACCUCCUUAAUUUGAUAAAGCAUAUAAUUUGAUAAAAAAAAAUUUGUGGGAAAAUUACCUCCAACAAAAUUUGUGGGAAAAUUACCUCCAAAUAUUUAUCAACUAGUGAAAAAUUCCCUCCAACAAUAAAAAAAUAAAGAUCGUAAAAAAUAAAUAAAUAAAAUCUUACUCCCUCCUGUUCUUCGGUUCUCUACUACAUUCUCCAUUUUCCAUUCUCCAUUCUCUAGUGUCUACCGAUUUCUAGCGUUUUCUCCAUCAGCUUUCCACGGUCUCCAUUCGGGUGGCUUCCUCUCUUGAUUUCCUCCAUUGAAACAACUUUUAAGAAUUUUGGCAGUUGAAUCAUGGGGCAGCCUCAAAUGGCCGGAGGUGAUAGGGCUAGUGUACCUACACCAGAUAAAUGACCAACAAUGCCCUAGCUUACCUGAAGGCAGUGAAGAAAUUGUUCCCGGAGAAGGAGAAAUAUGAUAAAUUCAUCAGGACAUUACGAGGCAAUAAGCUGGAACAUUGGUGUUUUAAUUCAGCCUAAGAUGCAGUUCUAAUAUGUUUCUGAAUUAUGUAGCCUAUCAAUUCUAAACAUCAGUUCUGAUUAUCAGCUCUGAAAUCAGAUCUGAAUUAUAGUUCUAAAGUUCAUUUCAAGAUAUCAGUUCUGUUUUUUAGUUGUGAAAUCAGUACUAAAUUUCAGUUCUGAAAUUAGUUUUGAAAUUCAGCUCUGAAAUAAGUCCUGAUAAUUAUUUUUAAUUUAGUUCUGAGACGGUGUUCUGAAAUUAGUUGAGAGAUUGUGAUUUGAAAUUAGUUCUGAAAUUCAAUUCUGAAUUUCAUGGUUGGUUCAUUUCAGGAGUGCUAUAUUGUUGGGUCUUUUACGAAAACAAGUUGGUUUCUGCUACAAUGGCUACUCAGAUGAGCAAGAACCGAAAGUUCGGUUCUGAUGGUGUCAUUUACGCUGAACUAAAUAAAGUUUUAAGUAGAGAACUCACUGAAGAUAGCUACUCUGGUGGCAAAGUUAGGGUUACUCCUAUGUGCACGUAGAUCAUCAUUAGGGCUACUUAUAUCCAGAAUCUUCUUCGUAAUUUACCCCUUUUGUGUUUUGGAUUCGAUUUUUUCAAUUCUUUGUUUCUGAUUUUGUUAUUUUGAUUGAUUGUAUUAGGUGAGAAGGGAAGAAGGAUUAAGGAAUCCUGUUUUUUGAAGAUGGAUGACUCUGAUGUAGCAAACUUUAUAGCCAUUUGCUGGGCUAUUUGUGGUGCUAGGAACUCUCAGAUCAUGGAGGGGGAGUGUAAGGACUAUGGGGAAGUGCUGAGCUAUGCUAUAAAGACUAGAAAUUCCAAGCCUGGUUUCUGCUGUGCUGCCGCUGUUGGUUCAGGGAAGCACUAGACGAAAAUAUCAAUUGGCCACCGGUUCAAAACCCGCCUAUGCCACCGGUUUUGAACCGGUGGUCAUUUGGGGGGUGGCAAUAAACUGAAGCAAAGCCACCGGUUCAAAACCGGUGGCAAAAUCAAGUAUUGCCACCGGUUAACCGGUGGCAAUAAGCCUUCCCGCAAUUUUUUUUAUUUGUAUUAAUAACUAUUGCCAGCGGUUAAUCGGUGGCAAUAAUGCCCUAAAAAAGCAAAAAAAAAAAAAAAAAAUAUUUGCAUUUUUUUCAAUUAAAAUGUAGCAGAAACAUAUUUACAUGCAUAAUAUACAUAAAACACGUAUAUAUUCGUCAA